GAUGAACGCUGGCGGCGUGCUUAACACAUGCAAGUCGAACGGCAGCAUGGGUGCUUGCACCUGAUGGCGAGUGGCGAACGGGUGAGUAAUGUAUCGGAACAUAUCCGCAAGUGGGGGAUAACGUAGCGAAAGUUACGCUAAUACCGCAUAUUCCCUGAGGGGGAAAGGAGGGGAUCCGCAAGGACCUUUCGCUUACGGAGUGGCCGAGAUCAGAUUAGCUAGUUGGUGAGGUAAAGGCUCACCAAGGCGACGAUCUGUAGCGGGUCUGAGAGGAUGAUCCGCCACACUGGGACUGAGACACGGCCCAGACUCCUACGGGAGGCAGCAGUGGGGAAUUUUGGACAAUGGGCGCAAGCCUGAUCCAGCCAUGCCGCGUGAGUGAAGAAGGCCUUCGGGUUGUAAAGCUCUUUCAGCUGGAAAAAAAUCGCUUCACCUAAUACGUGGAGUGGAUGAUGGUACCAGCAGAAGAAGCACCGGCUAACUACGUGCCAGCAGCCGCCGCGGUAA
rnacentral:rRNA from 1 species